rnacentral:rRNA from 1 species
GACGAAGGAUGCAAGCGUUAUCCGGAUUCAUUGGGUUUAAAGGGAGCGUAGGCGGUCUUGUAAGUCAGUGGUGAAAUCUCUUCGCUUAACGAAGAAACUGCCAUUGAUACUGCAGGACUUGAGUACAGAUGCUGUGGGCGGAAUAUGACAUGUAGUGGUGAAAUACAUAGAGAUGUCAUAGAACACCGAUUGCGAAGGCAGCUCACAAAACUGUAACUGACGCUGAGGCUCGAAAGUGCGGGGAUCAAACAGGAUUAGAUACCCUGGUAGUCCGCACUGUAAACGAUGAUUACUCGCUGCUGGGGGGCAACUUCCAGUGGCUGAGCGAAAGCGAUAAGUAAUCCACCUGGGGAGUACGCCGGCAACGGUGAA